AAAUGGUGAAGUGGGGGUCCUUUAUUCAUAAAAAAAUGGGGAUCAUUAGAUUUGUGCCAAGUGGAAAAAUCUAGUAAAAAGAGAGAAAGUCAAUGUGAAAUGAUGAGAUGUGAUGACCGACGGAUGUGACCGACGGAUGGAUGACGCGUGUGACAACAGCACGAAAAUAGGAGGUACACUACUCGAAUGACAGCGACACGUUGCUCAAGCGACGGUGGUACACUGCCUAAGUUGGCAGCGACUUGCCGCCUAACUGGUGUCGCGUGUUGCCUGAAGACGGCGCACGAUGCCUAAGGGGCAGCGCACACUACUCGAGGCAACACACGUUGCCCCAACUUGCCACACGUCAUAGGCUUAGUUUGCCACGUGCGCAGGCUUACUGUGCACAGGCCUACCGCGAGCAGGCCUAUUGCGUGCAGGCCUAUUACGCGGACGGCGUGCGUAU
rnacentral:lncRNA from 1 species